rnacentral:lncRNA from 1 species
AACCAUAUCAGAGAGCAAGCUUCCUCUCUUACUCCCAAAACCCAGCAAUUUCAUUCUCAGCCCAUCCUUUUCCCUUAGUUUUCCCUGUUGGCAAGCUGUUCUAACACUUGACAGAGUCUCUGUCAAGCUGCCGGAAAAACACUCAAGCCACCAUUUUCUCUCUUUUUCCUUAUGCUCAACCAAACCUCUCUGCAAACUCUUCAUCUCUUGCCUUAAUACCUCUUUUCACCCAAGGAACAGUUAGUUUUCUCUUUAGUGUUAAACUCAU